rnacentral:lncRNA from 10 species
AGCCCGGAGGUUGGCUAUGUGACCAGGCAACAUGCUGAGCCGGCUUCAGGAACUGCGCAAGGAGGAGGAGACGCUGCUGCGGUUGAAGGCAGCCCUGCACGACCAGCUGAACCGCCUCAAGGUUGAAGAAUUAGCCCUCCAAUCAAUGAUCAGUUCUAGAAGAGGGGAUGAGAUGCUGUCUUCUCACCCUGGAGCUGAGCACAAAGAGUCAUGUGACGGAAGAGGAGGAGGAGGAAGAGGAAGAAGAAUCAGAUUCCUAAAGGAGGGGGAAAGCCAGGCUGGUCAGUUAUACAAAUUGCAUUUCUAAGGCUCAGGCUACUUCUCCUCAAGGAAAUCAUCUUGCCCUGGGCCCUGUGAUCUGCUUGAAAGGAAAGCAAGAACUAUAAGGAGGAUGUGUAGUUGCAAAAAUGGCUCCAUCGGUAACUCAAGCUUCAGAAUGUUAUGACAUACAGAAAAUCAAAGAUGCUGUGUCUUAGCAUUGAGUAAUAUGGGUGGUGCUGUCUGUAAUCUGGUCAGAUUCAGUUAACUGUUCAGAACAAAAUUUCCUCUGAAAUACUGUUGAGAAAGUCUGUCAUUUGCAAAAAGAGCAGAGUUUAAAUACAAGCCAGUCUUUCCAGUCAACAAUGCCUCUUUGAAGAAAACCAAUUAAAGACUGUUUGCAUGCCGCUGAACCCUUGUGAGCAGUUAGGACACAGUCUAGGACAGAAAGAUGACAAGGGGAAGGACUGAGGGCCGUCUGAGAGCACAAGCUGUUUCUACCUCUCAGAGGCAUUGAAAUAUUGCAUGCUAUAAACUGCUUUGUGUAUCUGUUACCAC